UCCAUGUCCUUAAAUACUUUCGGCCCAAUCUAAUUAACAUACACCAAUAAUAUAUAGACUUGCAUUAAUAUUCCUCCCUCAAAUUUAAUGCUAGUGGUACAUAAAUUAUGUAUUCAAUUUUUCAAUCCAAAAGCUUUCCCUCUCUGUAGGUUUAUUAAUAUCCGUGAUAUCGAUAAUCUGUGCUUUAAAGUCAUUAAGACCCGAAUGGCCCUCCUCAAAAAAAUGUUCAUACAAAUGUUGACCAC